rnacentral:rRNA from 1 species
UCGAGAAUUUUUCACAAUGAGCGAAAGCUUGAUGGAGCGACGCCGCGUGGGGGAUGAAUGGCUUCGGCCCGUAAACCCCUGUCAUUCGGGAUCAAUGCCGUUCAGUGAAUAUCUGAACGGUUGAUAGUACCGGAAGAGGAAGGGACGGCUAACUCUGUGCCAGCAGCCGCGGUAAUACAGAGGUCCCAAGCGUUGUUCGGAUUUACUGGGCGUAAAGGGCGCGUAGGUUGCCGGGAAAGUCUGGUGUGAA